rnacentral:rRNA from 1 species
AACGAACGCUGGCGGCAGGCCUAACACAUGCAAGUCGAACGAAGUCUUCGGACUUAGUGGCGCACGGGUGAGUAACACGUGGGAAUAUACCUUACGCUGGGGGAUAACAUCGGGAAACUGAUGCUAAUACCGCAUACGCCCUUCGGGGGAAAGAUUUAUCGGCGAAAGAUUAGCCCGCGUCCGAUUAGCUAGUUGGUGAGGUAAUGGCUCACCAAGGAUCCGAUCGGUAGCUGGUCUGAGAGGAUGACCAGCCACACUGGGACUGAGACACGGCCCAGACUCCUACGGGAGGCAGCAGUGGGGAAUAUUGGACAAUGGGCGCAAGCCUGAUCCAGCCAUGCCGCGUGAGUGAUGAAGGCCUUAGGGUUGUAAAGCUCUUUCACCCACGACGAUGAUGACGGUAGUGGGAGAAGAAGCCCCGGCUAACUUCGUG